UACGUAGGGCGCGAGCGUUGUCCGGAAUUAUUGGGCGUAAAGAGCUCGUAGGCGGCCUGUCGCGUCAGUUGUGAAAGCCCGGGGCUUAACUCCGGGUCUGCAUUCGAUACGGGCUAGCUAGAGUGUGGUAGGGGAGAUCGGAAUUCCUGGUGUAGCGGUGAAAUGCGCAGAUAUCAGGAGGAACACCGGUGGCGAAGGCGGAUCUCUGGGCCAUUACUGACGCUGAGGAGCGAAAGCGUGGGGAGCGAACAGG
rnacentral:rRNA from 1 species